UCUUCUGAGUUUUGCUGUGAGUGACUAUUCUAGCGCUGCUGAAUAUUGCGUGCGCGGUUUGUUGCUUGUGGUAACUCUUUGGGAAAACCCUAUACACUUUGUUUUCUUAUUAGAGACAAAAUUGCUUUGGUCAGAUGUGCGUAAAACCACGACUGAUCAGAGAUUAAAUAAAACUCACUUUUGUUUUCGGACAAAAAACGUGUAUUAUUCAUAGUCAAAACUUGAAGCUAUUCUUUAUUGAAUUGCUGAACUAAACUUAAAACUUUCAACGACGGAUCUCUUGGUUCUCGCAUCGAUGAAGAACGCAGCGAAGUGCGAUAAGUAAUGUGAAUUGCAGAUUUUCGUGAAUCAUCGAAUCUUUGAACGCAUAUUGCGCCCUCUGGUAUUCCGGAGGGCAUGCCUGUUUGAGCGUCAUUUCCUUCUCAUAUCCCUAGGAUGUGGUGAUGAACGACACUUUCGCAAGAAAGUCCGUUUGAAAUGAAUUGGCACGAGUCUUUCGACAGAUUGAUGCUAUGUUUUCAAUGUAUUAGUUUACACCAUCGUUGAUUGUAGUAUUGGACUGUUGGAGUUAUGGGCUUUGCCUUACAAACUUUACCUUAAGUUUGACCUCAAUCACGUAGGAUUACCCGCUGAACUUAAAGCAUGUCAUCAGAC
rnacentral:rRNA from 1 species